UAGUGGUGUUUAUUGUUGUUGUAGUAGCUUUUACUUUUGUAUCGUGUUGUAUUAUCAUUUUGUUUGUUAUUAUUAGUAUUAGGUUUAAUGUUUAUUAACGUUUUGUUUGUAUUUUCCAGUUUUGUGUUCAUAGCAGAGUUCGAGCAGGAGACGGUCGUGGAGUUUUGGCUUAUUUCGCCAAAAUAUUGCGUCGAGGGCACCCGGGGGAAAUGCCAGUCAGCCUCUCUUUUAAAAGUUGACGCAUACUGGAUUGGCGUUUCUCUUGUGUUGGCAAUCCUUGGUGUCGUGAGUGCCGGCACAUUUCAUACAGGCGACCUGACCAUGGCAGUAGUUCCUUGUAUGUCCGAACGCCUGGCAUUUGUGGCACUGUGCCGGGGUCAGGCGCCUGUGGAAUUUUUCAAUUCUCACUUGGUAAGGGCCUAGAAGUUUUAGAGUGCGUCAUUGCGGCUGAGUGGUCUUCAUUGGAGUAGCAGGUUUAGGUUUUCUAAUUGGGCGAGCAGCGGGCCAACGUCUGGGAUGCGGGAGAUCCAGAUGUCCGGAAUCCUCUCGCUUCGAUGACCGCUGUGAUCAGAAGCAGAACGGCCGUCAUUUACGGAUUGCUCGUCUCUCCUCUCACCUUGGUUGCACGUCGCAAUGGAGCUAGUCGUAGUAUUUAAUUUUAUUUUUGACUCUGUAUUUGUUUUAUUAGUUUUAGUUAUA